UACGUAGGGUGCGAGCGUUAAUCGGAAUUACUGGGCGUAAAGCGUGCGCAGGCGGUUAUGCAAGACAGAUGUGAAAUCCCCGGGCUCAACCUGGGAACUGCGUUUCUAACUGGCAGGCUUGAGUGUGGCAGAGGGGGGUGGAAUUCCACGUGUAGCAGUGAAAUGCGUAGAGAUGUGGAGGAACACCGAUGGCGAAGGCAGCCCCCCUGGGCUAACACUGACGCUCAUGCACGAAAGCGUGGGGAGCAAACAGG
rnacentral:rRNA from 1 species